GACGUAGGGCGCGAGCGUUGUCCGGAUUUAUUGGGCGUAAAGAGCUCGUAGGCGGCUUGUCGCGUCGUCUGUGAAAUCCCGCGGCUCAACCGCGGGUCUGCAGUCGAUACGGGCAGGCUAGAGUUCGGUAGGGGGAGACUGGAAUUCCUGGUGUAGCGGUGAAAUGCGCAGAUAUCAGGAGGAACACCGGUGGCGAAGGCGGGGUCUCUGGGCCGAUACUGACGCUGAGGAGCGAAAGCGUGGGGGAGCGAACAGG
rnacentral:rRNA from 1 species